rnacentral:rRNA from 1 species
UACGUAGGGCGCAAGCGUUGUCCGGAAUCAUUGGGCGUAAAGAGCUCGUAGGUGGUCUGUUACGUCUGCUGUGAAAUCCUAGGGCUUAACCCUGGGCCUGCAGUGGAUACGGGCAGACUAGAGUUCGGCAGGGGAGACUGGAAUUCCUGGUGUAGCGGUGAAAUGCGCAGAUAUCAGGAGGAACACCGGUGGCGAAGGCGGGUCUCUGGGCCGAAACUGACGCUGAGGAGCGAAAGCGUGGGGAGCAAACAGG